GCCGAGAUCGCAUAGCCUGGUAGUGCGCGCGACUGGAAAUCGCGUGGGNCCGUCCCUCGGGAGUUCAAAUCUCCCUCUCGGCGCCA
rnacentral:tRNA from 1 species